AACGCGAAGAACCUUACCUGGUCUUGACAUCCACGGAAGUUUUCAGAGAUGAGAAUGUGCCUUCGGGAACCGUGAGACAGGUGCUGCAUGGCUGUCGUCAGCUCGUGUUGUGAAAUGUUGGGUUAAGUCCCGCAACGAGCGCAACCCUUAUCCUUUGUUGCCAGCGGUCCGGCCGGGAACUCAAAGGAGACUGCCAGUGAUAAACUGGAGGAAGGUGGGGAUGACGUCAAGUCAUCAUGGCCCUUACGACCAGGGCUACACACGUGCUACAAUGGCGCAUACAAAGAGAAGCGACCUCGCGAGAGCAAGCGGACCUCAUAAAGUGCGUCGUAGUCCGGAUUGGAGUCUGCAACUCGACUCCAUGAAGUCGGAAUCGCUAGUAAUCGUGGAUCAGAAUGCCGCGGUGAAUACGUUCCCGGGUCUUGUACACACGC
rnacentral:rRNA from 1 species